rnacentral:rRNA from 1 species
UGGGGAAUUUUGCACAAUGGGGGAAACCCUGAUGCAGCGACGCCGCGUGAGCGAUGAAGGCUUUCGAGUCGUAAAGCUCUGUCCUAUGGGAAGAUAAUGACGGUACCAUAGAAGAAAGCCCCGGCUAAUUACGUGCCAGCAGCCGCGGUAAUACGUAAGGGGCGAGCGUUGUCCGGAAUUAUUGGGCGUAAAGAGUGCGUAGGCGGCAAAUUAAGUCAGAUGUGAAAACUAAGGGCUCAACCCAUAGAUUGCAUCUGAAACUGAUAUGCUUGAGUCAAGGAGAGGAAAGUGGAAUUCCUAGUGUAGCGGUGGAAUGCGUAGAUAUUAGGAGGAAUACCGGUGGCGAAGGCGACUUUCUGGACUUGAACUGACGCUGAGGCACGAAAGCGUGGGGAGCAAACAGG